rnacentral:rRNA from 1 species
GACGUAGGGAGCAAGCGUUGUCCGGAAUUACUGGGCGUAAAGCGCGCGUAGGCGGCUUUGCAAGUCGGGUGUGAAAUCCCCAGGCUCAACCUGGGAACUGCAUUCGAGACUGCAUUGCUAGAGUAUGGGAGAGGGAAGUGGAAUUUCCGGUGUAGCGGUGAAAUGCGUAGAUAUCGGAAGGAACAUCAGUGGCGAAAGCGACUUCCUGGACCAAUACUGACGCUCAUGUGCGAAAGCGUGGGGAGCAAACAGG